UGAAGUAAAAGUCGUAACAAGGUUUCCGUAGGUGAACCUGCGGAAGGAUCAUUAUUGUAUAACCGAGGUGCGAGGGCUGUCGCUGACCCGAAAGGUCGUGCACGCCCGAGUGCCCUCACACACAUCCACCUCACCCCUAUGUGCACCACCGCGUGGGUCCCCCUUUGGCUUGUUCGGAGGGGGGCUUACGUUUUCACACAAACUUUGUAUGCAGUGUAGAAUGUAUUUUUUGUUUUUGCGAUCACGCAAUCAAUACAACUUUCAACAACGGAUCUCUUGGCUCUC
rnacentral:misc_RNA from 1 species